rnacentral:rRNA from 1 species
UACAGAGGUCCCAAGCGUUGUUCGGAUUCACUGGGCGUAAAGGGUGCGUAGGUGGCCAGGUAAGUUCGGUGUGAAAGCUCGGAGCUUAACUCCGAAAUGGCAUUGAAUACUAUCUGGCUAGAGGGUCGGAGGGGAGACUGGAAUUCUCGGUGUAGCAGUGAAAUGCGUAGAUAUCAGGAGGAACACCGAUGGCGAAGGCAGGUCUCUGGGCUGACACUGACGCUCAUGCACGAAAGCGUGGGGAGCAAACAGG